UACGUAGGGGGCUAGCGUUGUCCGGAAUCAUUGGGCGUAAAGAGCGUGUAGGCGGCUAGGUAGGUCCGUUGUGAAAACUCGAGGCUCAACCUCGAGACGUCGAUGGAAACCAUCUAGCUAGAGUCCGGAAGAGGAGAGUGGAAUUCCUGGUGUAGCGGUGGAAUGCGUUGAUAUCGGAAGGAACGCCGGUGGCGAAAGCGAUCCGCUGGCCCUCUACUGACGCUGAGGCGCGAAAGCCAGGGGAGCAAACGGGG
rnacentral:rRNA from 1 species